rnacentral:lncRNA from 1 species
CUCUACUACUAAUAAAAGAGCAAACAUUAUCUUCUCUUCACGCACCCCAUUAAACGUACACAGACCUAUUACCACCCUACGAUUAGGCCCACUAAAAUCAAUCUAAUGGUCAACCUUAACCUCAUGUGUUGAUUGGGGUGCACUUAAUAAUUUACACACGGACGGACUGUUCCACCGCAGAGGAAAUCACCUCCACAUCCCUCCCAAUCAUCAAUCACACGCAGGGAAACAAAUAACUUCCCAUCGCUACACCAUACCAUACUGGAAGGGAACACCUGAAAUCACGCAUCAUCAGGAAGGAAACAAUUAUCCCAUCUCUGCAUCAUAGCACCGUCGCCCCGACCUCGCCGCCCGACAGAUCCCCUCGCCCUGGGGCAACAUCGUCUGCUUCCGGAACGACGCCCUCGCCGCCCUGCACCGUACCGUACCGUGGGCAGCCGUUCCUCCGUCGUCACCUCCUCGCUACCGGCAAGUCCCUGAAGGCCUAAGGUGAGCAGAAUUUAUGAUACAGUCAAUCUACUAACCGCACCAUCUUGCUUGACAUCAAUAAAAACCAAAAAUCUUGAGCAUGUAUCCUGCAUAAACAUAACAAGCAUGUUUAUUCAUAAUAAUAUUGUGUGUACGUGAAUGCUAUUUGCCACUAAUAUGCUUUAAUUCAACCCUCUUGGCAGAUUGUACUAAUACGCGGCGGUAUGUCAUCUCCCAAUCGCGCGGGGGCACACACCCCCUUUCAGGAUAUAACCAACUCCCACUCCGUGGGUAAUUAACUGCCUACUAAAUGCUAUGGUUUUUCUUGAAUGAUGAACACCGUUAUUGCUUAUGCGCUAACUUUCUGUUUGUAUUUAUAGACCCUAAGGAAUUGAAGAGGCAGCGGGACAGAGAAUACUAUGCACGAAAUAAAGAUGCCAUUCUCAAACGGCGUCGUGAUGCACGCCAAAAUAACGGGACUCCAAAAGCGCUGCCUAAUGACCAGCAAAGUGUGCCACAUACACCCCUGGCCAUGACCCAAAGUAAAAAUAACCUUGUACUGUUGGCUUAUGUUCUGUUGUUCAGGUAACAUUUUGAGACUCUGAAUUAUAACUAUAAUGUAUCAUAGAUGUAGAUCAUAUGGAGCAAAAGAGGCAACUGGAAAGGGAACGGUAUUCACAAAAUAGGGAUGACAUAAUAAAAAGACAACGUCAAGCCUACGGUCAGAAAAAAUUGUCUCAGGCUUCUACAGGGACCGGUGCCCAGAAAGAUGAAACACAAACACCGAUGUCCACAUCCAUUGGUAAUGACAAUCAACGCAUUACAUAUGCCCCUAACUGUUGAAGCUAAUUAGCUUUUUGCAUCUAUGUAGACCCUAAAGAGUUAAGGAGGCAAAGGGACAGGGAGCGGUAUGCACAAAACAGGGAUGAAAUAUUAAGAAGAAAACGCCAAUCCCGUGAACAGUCAAAGACAUCUAUUGCCACCGUUAACAGUGUUGACAAUGUGUCACGCACACCAGCUACAGGACAAUCGGGUGUCAGCCAGCUACAAACAAUAUCAUUUGCAGGUUUUGUGCUACCAUCAAAUAGUCAUUUCCUUUUAUUAUCUCGCAUAUUAUUAAGAGAUACUCCCUCCGUCUCAACAUAAGUGUCUCAACUUAAAUACAACUUUGCACUAAAGUUAGUAUAAAGUUGAGACACUUAUUUCAGGACGGAUGGAGUAUAUUAAUAUAUGCACUGAUGUGGUGACACCAAAUUUCUUGCAGGCUUAUCAAACAUGCCAACUUCAUCCCAAUCACAUGAAGGGAUCCCUCCUCACAAGGACAAUAUUUUAGGAAACAUUGAUGAAUCCAAUUGGUUGCAUAGGAAUGAUGCAUAUCAGAUGGUAGAAAUUGCAGGGAGACUGAGAGCUGUUGUUGUACCUCUUGGUCAUGAAACGCAAACAAUUUCCAAUGUCA